rnacentral:rRNA from 1 species
UGUGUAGGAUAGGUGGGAGGCUUUGAAGUGUGGACGCCAGUCUGCAUGGAGCCGACCUUGAAAUACCACCCUUUAAUGUUUGAUGUUCUAACGUUGGCCCCUAAUCGGGGUUGCGGACAGUGUCUGGUGGGUAGUUUGACUGGGGCGGUCUCCUCCUAAAGAGUAACGGAGGAGCACGAAGGUUGGCUAAUCCUGGUCGGACAUCAGGAGGUUAGUGCAAUGGCAUAAGCCAGCUUGACUGCGAGCGUGACGGCGCGAGCAGGUGCGAAAGCAGGUCAUAGUGAUCCGGUGGUUCUGAAUGGAAGGGCCAUCGCUCAACGGAUAAAAGGUACUCCGGGGAUAACAGGCUGAUACCGCCCAAGAGUUCAUAUCGACGGCGGUGUUUGGCACCUCGAUGUCGGCUCAUCACAUCCUGGGGCUGAAGUAGGUCCCAAGGGUAUGGCUGUUCGCCAUUUAAAGUGGUACGCGAGCUGGGUUUAGAACGUCGUGAGACAGUUCGGUCCCUAUCUGCCGUGGGCGCUGGAGAACUGAGGGGGGCUGCUCCUAGUACGAGAGGACCGGAGUGGACGCAUCACUGGUGUUCGGGUUGUCAUGCCAAUGGCACUGCCCGGUAGCUAAAUGCGGAAGAGAUAAGUGCUGAAAGCAUCUAAGCACGAAACUUGCCCCGAGAUGAGUUCUCCCUGACUCCCUGAGAGUCCUGAAGGAACGUUGAAGACGACGACGUUGAUAGGCCGGGUGUGUAAGCGCAGCGAUGCGUUGAGCUAACCGGUACUAAUGAACCGUGAG